rnacentral:tRNA from 1 species
GGGGGUAUAGCUCAGUGGUAGAGCACAUGCUUAGCAUUCAUAAGCUCUUGGGUUCAAUCCCCAGUACCUCCA